AGAGUAGAUCUAUUACAUAAAAUACAAUUAACAUGAACAGAAUCAAAAGUUAAGACUCGGUCAAACCAUGUCAGUCGACAUGUUCAUAUGUUUUCUGGGUUACCCAUAAAAUAGAGAACGUGCUCGACCUUGCUAGUUUGACCGUCCAUAAAAUCCAACCCGUUUACGAAAUAAGUGAUAUUACGGCAUGAUGAUGUAGUCUAACAAACAUACUACAACUUAGAUGCAAGAACCAUAACGAUACAUCAAACCACUUUCUCCAAGCCCUUGAAGAACUUGUCAGAGCUUUCUGGGCUCAUUCUGGGUUACCCAGAAAUGGCCCGGUCAAUGCCGGUCAACGACCUUUGACCUCUUAUAACUUACAAUAUACAACUGAUAUAGGCCUGAUUCUUGAUCCAGAGAAAAGAUGUCAUAGCAUACUACAAGAUCAACGCUUAAAAUAACGAAAACACACAACAGGCCAAGAUCUAUGGGACCUAACAUUCGUUGUCAGACGACUGUUGAACUUUUUUCCAGAUUUUGUAAAAUGUCAAAUCCAAGCCUCUAGAUAUUAUGGAUUCAAUAUCUAGCAACCCAGAUCAUCCUUAGACACUACUAACAACAUAUUCUAACACUCAAACAUAACAUCUAACAACAGAAAAUUGGACAGAUUUUUUAGUACGAUUUUAUACCUUCUUUGAUCACUUUCUGAUUUUGGCUUCUGAUGUUUGUUAUAGUUAUUCGUGGGGAUGGUAUUUGGGGACUGAUAUGGUAAUAAUUUCGGAGGUUCGAGAGAGAGAGAGCUUAGGUUGAGAGUUUGGAGAAAAAUGAGCUAAAUGGUGACUUUUUCUCUCUCUUGAUCUAUAUAUACUAGUGUAUGAUGCAUGUAUGGCUGAUGUAUAUUGCUUGUUGCUGGAGUUUUGUGUCUC
rnacentral:lncRNA from 1 species